AGUGAACGCUGGCGGUAGGCCUAACACAUGCAAGUCGAACGGCAGCACAGUAAGAGCUUGCUCUUACGGGUGGCGAGUGGCGGACGGGUGAGGAAUACAUCGGAAUCUACUUUUUCGUGGGGGAUAACGUAGGGAAACUUACGCUAAUACCGCAUACGACCUACGGGUGAAAGCAGGGGAUCUUCGGACCUUGCGCGAUUGAAUGAGCCGAUGUCGGAUUAGCUAGUUGGCGGGGUAAAGGCCCACCAAGGCGACGAUCCGUAGCUGGUCUGAGAGGAUGAUCAGCCACACUGGAACUGAGACACGGUCCAGACUCCGACGGGAGGCAGCAGUGGGGAAUAUUGGACAAUGGGCGAAAGCCUGAUCAGCCAUACCGCGUGGGUGAAGAAGGCCUUCGGGUUGUAAAGCCCUUUUGUUGGGAAAGAAAAGCAGCAGGUUAAUACCCCGCUGUUCUGACGGUACCCAAAGAAUAAGCACCGGCUAACUUCGUG
rnacentral:rRNA from 1 species